GCGAGACGCGACGUCCAGGGCCGCUCCGCCGCGCGCCUACCGCGCAUCUUGAGUACGCGCGAGUGAUGCACUGCUCUGCCUCUCUAACCUGAGCCCCUCUGCCUUGGCCCCCGACUCUUUGCUUCUUUCAAUGGCACAUUAUCUAGUACAGUGUGUUACUGGAACAUUGUUACAUAUUAGCACCGCUCUGUGAAAAUAUACAUGCCUAUCACAGUUAUGUGAUUUCGUGAACGUGUUCUCUUCUCUAAAUCAAUCUGAAGAUCUUACAUCAGACUGACAUAUCAAUACUUCGCUAACUUCCAAGACUGAAGUAGAACUUUAUACUUGUUACUCUCUGCUUGUUAUACCUUUAAGUGCCAAAAGUUAUUUAGAUUUCUUCGUCGUGUACUCUCGCCGGGAAAAGUGAUAUCUGAGUGGUGUGAACAUUGCUAAUGUGCGCGAUUGUACCUGCGGAGAGGUUGUGCGUGUUGGUUAGUGUUAAGGAGACGGCGUGCGCUUUGGAUUGUAGCGCUGUGACGGCUCCAAAGUGGUCGGAGGCGGGGUCUUCCGUUGCUGCGUGCCCUGGUGCGGGGCGCGCGCGGCGGCGCCCGUCGACGAAGCCGACUAUGCCUUGAGAGAGGGCAGCCCGCAACUAUCCCAAGAAGAAUACAUUAUACCUGAGCCCAUACUAAGUUCACCGCGCCCUAUAGGCCAACAGUCCCCUUUACCCGGAAUAGAAGAGGAAGACGAUUCCGAUUGGCCACUAGAGGACGCCACAGACGCGACCCUUACUCCUUCAUAUAGAAGUACGAAAAGCAGUACUGACACAGCUUUUACUUCAUCGAGGAGUUCCGGGAAGAAGCGUAGUUUUGGGAGUCCAUCUUCGGUAAAGAUAUGCGUAUCGGCCGCGGCUAGGAAGUCGAACAAGGCCCGCAAGCGUGGCGCCGGCGGAGCCGGGGCAGCGGGGCAGGGUGAGGAGUCGCAGUCUCAGGGCGCGCACAGCUCGCUUGGCUCCCACAGCUCGCACGGCAGGAUGCAGGCCGAGCAGGGCAGCAUCGGCGAGCUGCAAAAGUACCACGGCCGCUACCUCAAGAGCAGACGACACACGCUCGCUAA